rnacentral:rRNA from 1 species
GAUGAACGCUGGCGGCGUGCUUACACAUGCAAGUCGAACGGGAAACAUUUCAUUGAGGCUUCGGCGGAUUUGAUCUGUUUCUAGUGGCGGACGGGUGAGUAACGCGUGGGUAACCUGCCUUAUACUGGGGGAUAACAGCCAGAAAUGACUGCUAAUACCGCAUAAGCGCACAGAACCGCAUGGUUCCGUGUGAAAAACUCCGGUGGUAUAAGAUGGACCCGCGUUGGAUUAGCUAGUUGGCAGGGCAGCGGCCUACCAAGGCGACGAUCCAUAGCCGGCCUGAGAGGGUGAACGGCCACAUUGGGACUGAGACACGGCCCAGACUCCUACGGGAGGCAGCAGUGGGGAAUAUUGCACAAUGGGGGAAACCCUGAUGCAGCGACGCCGCGUGAAGGAAGAAGUAUCUCGGUAUGUAAACUUCUAUCAGCAGGGAAGAUAAUGACGGUACCUGACUAAGAAGCCCCGGCUAACUACGUGCCAGCAGCCGCGGUAAUACGUAGGGGGCAAGCGUUAUCCGGAUUUACUGGGUGUAAAGGGAGCGUAGACGGCGCAGCAAGUCUGAUGUGAAAGGCAGGGGCUUAACCCCUGGACUGCAUUGGAAACUGCUGUGCUUGAGUGCCGGAGGGGUAAGCGGAAUUCCUAGUGUAGCGGUGAAAUGCGUAGAUAUUAGGAGGAACACCAGUGGCGAAGGCGGCUUACUGG